UACGUAGGCAGCAAGCGUUGUUCGGAGUUACUGGGCGUAAAGCGUGCGUAGACGGUUAUUUAAGUCGGGUAUGAAAGCCCCGGGCUCAACCUGGGAAUUGCAUUCGAGACUGAAUAGCUAGGGUACGGUAGAGGGAAGCGGAAUUUCCGGUGUAGCGGUGAAAUGCGUAGAUAUCGGAAGGAACAUCAGUGGCGAAAGCGGCUUCCUGGACCAGUACCGACGUCAGGCACGAAAGCGUGGGGAGCAAACAGG
rnacentral:rRNA from 1 species